ACAAGAGGUGCUGCUCUGCUGGAGCGUGCAAGCGACCAAACUGCGAGGUGUGCCAGUCUUUGCCUGAGUGGCGAGGUGCUGGUAGUGUUGUGCGGGGCUCAUGGGGCACGUCCUCGGGCGUACCGAGCGUGUUUGGGUGUGUGCUCUGCAGUGCAGCUUCUGGUUUGGUGAGUGUGUUCUAGGUCCUAGAUGUAAUUACUCCUGACCAAGGGAGUUGCGGGGGGGGUAGGAGGGGUGCUUUCAUUGGUCCGCUACAAAGUGUGAGUGUAUAUGUAGGAGUAGUACCGUGUCCUGUCGAUUUGAGGUGGGC